UGGGGAAUCUUGCGCAAUGCGCGAAAGCGUGACGCAGCAACGCCGCGUGAGGGAAGAAGGCUCUCGGGUUGUAAACCUCUUUCAGUUGGGACGAAGCUUCGUCGGUUAAUAGCCGGCCGGAGUGACGGUACCUUCAGAAGAAGCCCCGGCUAACUACGUGCCAGCAGCCGCGGUAAUACGUAGGGGGCAAGCGUUGUCCGGAAUCAUUGGGCGUAAAGCGCGUGUAGGCGGCUCGGUAAGUCCGCUCUGAAAGCCCGGGGCUCAACCCCGGGAGGCGGGUGGAUACUGCCGAGCUAGAGUCCGGAAGAGGCGAGUGGAAUUCCUGGUGUAGCGGUGAAAUGCGCAGAUAUCAGGAGGAACACCAAUUGCGAAGGCAGCUCGCUGGGACGGUACUGACGCUGAGACGCGAAAGCGUGGGGAGCAAACAG
rnacentral:rRNA from 1 species